rnacentral:rRNA from 1 species
UACGUAGGUGGCAAGCGUUGUCCGGAUUUACUGGGCGUAAAGAGCGCGCAGGCGGUCGUUCAAGUCGAGUGUGAAAGCCCCCGGCUCAACUGGGGAGGGUCACUCGAUACUGAUCGACUCGAAGGCAGGAGAGGGAAGUGGAAUUCCCGGUGUAGUGGUGAAAUGCGUAGAUAUCGGGAGGAACACCAGUGGCGAAGGCGACUUCCUGGCCUGUUCUUGACGCUGAGGCGCGAAAGCUAGGGGAGCGAACGGG